rnacentral:tRNA from 1 species
GCGGGCGUAGCUCAAUGGUAGAGCAUCAGCCUUCCAAGCUGAACGUUGACGGUUCGAGUCCGUUCGCCCGCU